UUUAAAUGCAGCAUGAGUUUUCGUGUCUAACUUUUAUCGUCCGUCUUAUUUAAAAAAAAUUAUGAUUAAUAUUUUUAUUAUUAUCAGAUGAUGAAACAUGAAUAGUGCUUUGCGUGAUUUAUGUUUUUUAUUUCUUUUCAAAAAAAAUUUCAAAUAAAACAAACGGUUAAAGUUGGAUUCGGAAACUCAUGGCUGCACUUAAA
rfam:Oryza sativa Japonica Group DNA, chromosome 1, cultivar: Nipponbare, complete sequence.